GGCUGAUCUAAAGGUAGUGAGUUGUCUCAAGUGAUAGUUGACAGUCAGUUACAGAUUAUUCUAUUCUUUCCUCCCUUUUCACUACUGUGCUUGAUUAGUCUUAA
ensembl:misc_RNA Y_RNA Y RNA